rnacentral:lncRNA from 1 species
ACAUUUCUCCAUUUUGAUCUAUCUAUUGUAUUUACCACGUUAAUUGUACCUUAUCUUUUACAAAAUUUCCGAUAAUUUGAGUUGGCUUCUUUUGUAAAUUGGCGGUAGAUUAUGCACGGUUCUGAUUUUCUUACAUUAUGUGUUACUAAUUACCAUAUCGUGUUUAUCUUCGUUUGGAUGGUAGAUCUAUAUGAUUUCUUCUUCAG